GUCACCUCCCUUGAUGGAUAUGCUGAAUGAGAAAAGGAUCACGUGCUUCCUGGUGUAGACAGGAACCCCAGGCCCACACUUGCCAUCUCUGCCAUCUUGAGGACCUUGGAGACACGACUGAAAACAGCUGUCUGCACAAGUUCCCUAGCUAGAAGCCCGGAGGGGGAGAUGGGGAAGGAACAUCUUUCACAGAGCCCUCCAUAAUCUGCAUGUAAGUAACAUGGCCCAGGCAAGUGGUCCUCAAAGUAACAGCCUCUGUUGUUUUGCC
rnacentral:lncRNA from 1 species